rnacentral:rRNA from 1 species
AUUGAACGCUGGCGGCAUGCCUAACACAUGCAAGUCGAACGAGUGGCGGACGGGUGAGUAAUGUCUGGGAAACUGCCUGAUGGCGGGGGAUAACUACUGGAAACGGUAGCUAAUACCGCAUACCCUCAGAUGUGCCCAGAUGGGAUUAGCUUGUUGGUGGGGUAAAGGCUCACCAAGGCGACGAUCCCUAGCUGGUCUGAGAGGAGGACCAGCAACACGGGAACUGAGACACGGGCCAGACUCCUACGGGAGGCAGCAGUGGGGAAUAUUGGACAAUGGGCGAAAGCCUGAUGCAGUAAUGCCGCGUGUAUGAAGAAGGCCUUCGGGUUGUAAAGUACUUUCAGCGGGGAGGCGUUACCCGCAGAAGAAGCACCGGCUAACUCCGUGCCAGCAGCCGCGGUAAUUC